AACUCUCUGGCAAAUGUACCAGAAAACAGCCCAGUAAAAGUAAAAGUGACAACGGAAGUGGUGUUGCUGAUAACACUACUAAUACUGGCAAGGAAAAAGUGCAGGUAAAACGACCGACAACCAGGAUUGUUCAGUCACGAUUUAAAACUGCAGGUGCCAUUUCAAAGGACAGCAGUGGCGGAAGUAAUAGCAGUGGUAAUAAAUCCAACAGUGCUGGCUAUAGUAGACUUCAGAAGAGUGGCCUCAACAAUACUCUGACAACAAGUACAUCCAUUUUAGGGAAGAAACAAAUUCAAAAACCAAAGCCUGUGAGAUCAACACAUGCAUCAAAACUUGGCCCCACAAGUCGAUCUUCAAGUGUGCUAAAAAUAUCAGGAUCAGGAAGUCAGGCUAGCCAUCAAGGAGCUUCUCUUUUGCCACAAGCUAAUCUAGAAUCAAAAUCAAAUAAACUAGAUGCAAAGAAGUCAUCCAGGGCUUCAUCUAUACAGGCUAGCAAUGCUAAAUUACACUCUACUGUUCUAAAUGCCACCAUGCUCUCAAUUUAACUGCUGU